GGGCCGCCCCCGCGGUGGGGCGCGGCGGGUUGGAGGGCGGGGGGAGGCGGCGGCGGCGGUGGCGGCAGCUCGGAGCGGUGGCGGCGCUGCGGUUGCGCCAUCUGUCAGCAGCCGCGCGGGGUGCGCAGCGCAGCGCAGUCAGCGCGGAGCGGAGGCAGCGCCCGUGGCAGCCCCGCGCCCUGCUGGGGCUGUGCCCGCCGGCGGUGCGCAGCGGAGAGCCACCGGCGAGAAGGGCGAGGAGAUGUGAGAGCCGGCCCCGCGCUGCGCCGCACAGGCUUUUUUUAGUUGCGGGCUUCCUCUGGCAUCAGUGUGAUUCAGUGAGUCCUUCAAGGGUGAGGUGACCUUGUCUUUGCUCUGGUGUGCUUUCAGCAAGUGUUAAUUUGGACUGUUGUAAGGUUAGGCUGGUUGGGAUUUUGUUGUUGUUUGUCUGUUGGUUUGGUUGUUGUUUGUUUUUUCUCUCCCAUGCAAAAGAAUGAAUUCUGCUGUAUGAAGCUGACUGUAUGACUAUCGAUGUUAAACAGGCUGGCAAAAUGUUGUUUUUGUGGUCAACUCUUAACGAUUUGCCAUGCAAGCAUGUGCCUUGCUAAAACCUGUGGUUGUCCUCUUGGAGUCCAUGUGGCACAGCAGGACAGAGCUGAGAAUUAUCUGGAGCUGAAUGUGGAGGGUGGAUCAGAAAAGCAUCUCUUUCUUUGUAUGUCCUUUGGGUCAGGUUGGAUGCACCUCCACAGCACUGCGCAGUGCUGAGCAGAAUUUCUCACUGGGGGGAGUUGGGAUAUCCCCAGCAGUCCAGAAGGAGAAUCAUUCUGACAUGCCUGCUCCAUAUCCAGGGCAGAGAUUUAUUGGUACUUAUGGUCAGUGUGUCUGCGCAGCACGCUCUUGGGCUAGAGAGGCUGCGCUUCACUUUUCUGAGCAUCAGAAAAGUAGAGGCGUGACCUGGAAUAGUGUACUGAUGGAUAAAUGUUAACUUUCCCAGUAUGGAAGACUAUCCAAGCUAGCUUUUCAAAAAAUUACUUCUAACUCUCUGUUCUUUUUUUUAUACGUUAUCUGCCCCAGUGCAGAAGAGCGAUUAUAUUACUAGGGAGCUCCAUCUAUAACAGCUACCCACAAGCUUUAAAAUGACAUGGUGCUGCAAUUGUAAGCAGUGGUUGUUUUCAGGGAAGGUUUCUUUUUGGGUUUUGUUGCAUUUUGUGUUGAUUGGGUGUGGGUUUUUUUGUGUGUGUGUGUUUUUGUGGGUUUGGUUUUUUCUUGCAAGAAAGUCUAGAGCAGCCAUUCCAAUCAUACUGCCGUCAGAGUGAUGUGGGAGUCCUCGUCUUAUGAAUGAGGGCUUUUCAAAGUAACCCGAUUUAGGAUGGUUGCUGUCUCAAAUUUAAUCUUAAAGCGUUGAUACAUUUCUGUGGAUUUCUUAGCAUCACUGAACGAUCGUUAACAGCUUAACCAAAAGAGAAAUAUGGCACUGAACUGACUGCUGGAAGAAAGUAUUAACAAAAGAGAAAUAUCACAGAUCUUUAGGGAAUACAGGUAAAAACAACUCUACAAGUGAAAUAAUCCCUCUAUUUGCUAAUAAGGUAGUCGCCCCAAACUGCAAUAAUACAUUUUUUUCCUUAAUUGGCUGUGUGUUGCCACUGAGUUAUAACUUCUGAGAAAAUAUCUUGAACGUGUUAGUCAAACCGCAUCAUGUAGAUUUGCUUCGUGAUUGUUGGUAUGGGAACUUGCUAACCUGUGCACACCAUGACAAGUAUGUAAGUGUGGACUCUCAUGCUCUGAAUGUACCAUCACCUGGAAUUAUUUUUUAUUGUGAUUUUUUUCUUCUUGCAGUCAUACUGUAACAAUUUCUUCUCUGUAUCUGAGCUCUCUCUACAGCUAACAGACUUCUCUUUUAAAACUACUUCUUAAUAGUCCUCCUAGCUUAUCUGAGAAGAGCUGUUCUUCCUUUUAAAAUUUAAUCACAAAAGAACUGAGGUUUGAGGGAAAUCUCUGGAAAUCAUCUCCCUUUGCAGAACAGGGCUAACCUCAAAGCUGGACCUUAUGUACAAGGUGGGGCCUCACACAGUUGGGUUUUGGGUGCUUCCGAGGACAGGGAUCGCACAGCCUCUGGCCAAUGUGUUCAAGCACGUGAUCCCUCACGAUGAAUGUCAUUUUCCUUACUAUCCAGCACCAGUUGCUCUCACUGCCGUUUGAUUCUGCUGUGCUUAUCAUUUCACUUGUGCUUCCAAGAAGAAUCCAGCCACUUCUCCUCCUCCACCCAUCAGCUGUCUGCAGGGAGGUGCUCCCCACCCCACAGCCUUUUUUUUUUUUCAAACUGCACCUACUCAACUCUCUCCAUCCCUUCUUGUACAUCAAGUGAUGCAGGAUCCUGGUGGCUAUCCACUGGACUUGCUACAGUAUGUCAUCCUUUCUCUUCCCAGCAUACUGAAACCAGAUUGGGCACUCCAGAUGAGAUCUCACAACUGCUACAACUGUAUACAGGGGAAUAACUACUGCUUCCACCUGCUGGUGAACUACAUGGCUUAUUCUGAGCUAAAUUUUCAGCUGCUGUCACCUCUCCCUUGCAGGGGAGCCAUAUCACUAGUGCUUGUAGGCUUCUUGUCACCUCAGAGGGAGCUGGAACCAAGACAGGGCUUUGCUCAAGUGAAAUGAAGCAGAUAACCCAACCAGUGUUUACAUACUCAGGACUGUAAUGUUUUCCAUUUCCCUGUUGUGAGGUUUUGCACCAGACUUUCACGCUGCAUGCAACAGUAUAACCUGAAGCAAUGAGAUGGUAUCACAGCAAUUGUUUUAGUAAAGCAGCAAGGAAAAUGCACUGUAAACAAUAUGUGCAAACUGACACAUUGUGUGUAUUUAUGGUUUUUUUCCUGACAGCACCUUGCCUAUCAGCCAAGGUACCUGCUUUAAUGUUCAGUAACAAAUAUGAGUCCUAGAAGAGCAGAUGUGCCACUUGAACAAGCCUCAUGAGAGCUGGGGCCCAAUCACACCUGCUUAAGAUUGUGGUACACCCAGAGGGGCUUUCUUCCCACUGGGCUCUUGGGACUUGAGCAUUGCUUGUCGCAUUGUUACUGGUGACUGAAGAACCUGUCACUACCUGUCUGCUUUUUGAAGGUUACAUCUUCUUAAUGUACUUAAAUGUGCAUUUACUCAGAGGAAAAAAAUAAAAUAAAACAACGUAGAGCAGUAGGAACACCAGUGAAACCCACUACCAAACUCAUGUGCAUGGGAUUUGUCCUACAGCUGCUGUUGCUUCAAGGUGUGUGUGGCUCACAUCACUUAGCUCAGUUUUCUUCAUACCGCAGUGUACAAUAGCAGCUGAAGGCAUGAACUUUCCUGAAAGCUGUAGCGACUUCAGUUUACGGCCUGCUGAUGGAGGAGUGGAGGACCAAUGCAUGGCUGGGUAGUGAGAGAAGGAUGGGCUGGGUGCUUACUGUGCCUUGUGGAGCUGCCCAGCAUCCUGGGGCAACUGGAAAAGAAGCCUUAGAAACCCAGCAAGUGCAAAAAGACUCAGCAGUAGUGAAGUGUGAGCUGGGAAGGUGGACAAGGGAGGGAAAUCCUCAGACUUAUUUUUGUUUUUCUUUAAUAUUUUUCUCUAUCAUGGAACUUAUUUCAAGGUCUCCCUUUCUAUUGGUGUUGCCAUUACUGUGAUUUUCCUUUGGGUAUUCUUGCUAGCUCCAUAGCACUGACUGUGGCAGUUGAGUCCCCCACAUAAGACAUGAAUUUGUUAGAGCAAGUCCAGAGGAGGGCCACAGAGGUGAUCAGAGGGUUGGAGCACCUGUCCUAUGAAGACAGGCUGUGGCAUCUGGGCUUUUUCAUUCUCGAGAAGAGAAGGCUCUGGGAAGCCCUUACAGUGGCCUUCCAGUACCUAAAGCGGCCUACAGAGAAGAUAAAGAAGGGCUAUUUACAAAGGGGUGUGUAGUGAUAGGACAAGGGAGAAGGGUAGUAAACUAAAAGAGGGGAAAUUUAUGUUAGAGAUUAGGUAGAAUUCUUUACGAGUGGUGAGGUGCUGGCACAGCUGCCCAGAGAAGCUGUAGGUGCCACAUCCCUGCAGGUGUUCAAAGCCAGGUUGGAUGGAGUCCUGGGCAGCUGAGCCGGGGGAUGGCAGCCCUGCCCACAGCAGGGGAUUGGGGCUGUUUGGGCUCUGAGGCCCCUUCCUACCCAAACCGUUCUGUGAUUCUAUUUCAAAGGUCUUUAUGCUCUUUACUUUCUUACAGCAAUCUGUUCCCGUGCCUGUUUACCUCAGUCUUCCCCAUCACUCACCUUCCUUUCCUCACCCUCAGAUCGCCUGGUCUCCCACACCAGCCAGCUGUUUAUCCUUGAGCUAAUGGUUGCUCAGAAUGCUCUGAUCUUAAUGCCACAAAACUGCUUAUACUCACAGCAAUUAAGAAAUAAAAAGGCAGAUUAUUUUUGCCCCGCCCCAGAGAAUUAGUUAUAUGUUUUCAAUCUGUACAGUUGUCACUGUAGGUUACAUUGAAUAGAACUCAGAGGUGAUUAAGAAGCCCUUUUUGGUACAGAAAUGAACUCUAUGUGCAAUUGCUCGUUCAGGUUAACUGGACAUCCUUGUGCAGCAGAGUAACAGUGUGAGAUAGCCAUACGUCAAACUGAGGCUCGCUACCAAACUGGUCCCUCUGAUGUGGUGAAAUGUAGAGUUUUGCCUGCUGGCUUUAAUAACAGGUUCCUCCUGGACCCCUCAGAAACAUGGAUGCUCUGCAGAGCCUGUGAGCAGUAGUGGAGGAUGGCUUUGUGACCUUGGUGGCUGCUCAGGUGGGGCUUGCUGUCUCAGGAAGGUGUCUGCUCCUGAAAAGCCAGUUGUGUUUAUUUGCUUGCUUUCAGUUAGAAAUUAGGGCAGCUUUGUGCUAUAUGUAAAGCUCCCGUGGGGGAGAUGCUGAGAGUUUAAGGAAUUUCAGAUUUUUGUUCCAAUUUUGACUUAAUUCACAUGAAAAGCUCAGGAGCUUUCUGGUGCUCGGUGGCAGCUUGAGUAAAAUAGUUUCAGUGGGAAGAUGAGGGGGAUGUAUAUCAGCUUGUAGCUAAUAUUUGUUUAAACGGGUUAUGCAAAAUAAUUUUGGAUAUUGUUAGCAAACUGGAGAAGUCACAAGAUGUCCUUCUUUGAUGAGUAUAAACUAUACCAUUCUGCUAGAAACUCUCAGAGACAGGGAAACAGCACCAAGCACGGGAGGUUAAUACCUCCUCUAGAUAAUGCCAGCACCUUCAGUCUCCCACAUCUUGUCCCCAAACACUCAUUUUGGUCGAUGGCAGGCCUGGAACCUAGUGCUACCAACCCCAAGUGUUUGAAUAUUUCAGUGGCUUUGGAGAGGAGGGAGGACAGGCUGGAGCUGGGUACUUCCCAAGGUUGUAGCUGGGAAUGCUGCAGGGAACAUGGCUCAGGGGCAGCUGACGGGUGGGGGGAGCUGCCAUUGAGGAUCUCAAACACCGCUGUCUUUUCCUGUGGAGUAAAUGUGUUCGUACUUGUGUUAACACCUUGCAAUUAAGUCUGAGAUAUUCAAAUCGCGUUGGAGCUAGGUUCACCCAGUGUGACUCAGGUAUUGUUCAUAUAUGCCUGAUAUAUGCAUUUUCACCG
rnacentral:lncRNA from 1 species